rnacentral:rRNA from 1 species
UAUUUAUUAGAUAACAAGCCAAUAUUCCUCUGGUCUAUUGUGGUGACUCAUAAUAACUGAUCGAAUCGCAAGGUCUUUGACCGCGAUAAGUCAUUCAAGUUUCUGCCCCAUCAGCUUUCGAUGGUAGUGUAUUGGACUACCAUGGCGUUUACGGGUAACGGAGGAUUAGGGUUCGAUUCCGGAGAGGGAGCCUGAGAAACGGCUACCACAUCUAAGGAAGGCGGCAGGCGCGAAAAUUACCCAAUCCCCACUCCGGGAGGUAGUGACAAGAACAAGAAAUAACAAUACUUGGGGUUUUCAUGUCUGGAAAGAGCCUAAUUUCCACUCCUACCCAUUAACCGAUUCAAUUGGAGGGCAAGUCUGGUGCCAGCAGCCGCGGUAAUACCACCUCCAAUAGCGUAUAUUAAUGUUGCUGCAGUUAAAAAGCUCGUAUUUGGAUUUCUGACCAGGAGCGCCUGGCCCGUGGCCGAAGGCUCAUGAGCGCCUGAGCGCUUCGGUCAUCCGUCUAGAGACCUUUACUGCCCUUCACUGGGUUGGUGAACAGAAUCUAGGCCAUUUACUAUGAAGAAAGUAGAG